UAGCCGUAAACGAUACUCGCUAGGUGUCGGCCACGGUGCGACCGUUGUCGGUGCCGUAGGGAAGCCGUGAAGCGAGCCACCUGGGAAGUACGGCCGCAAGGCUGAAACUUAAAGGAAUUGGCGGGGGAGGCACAACAACGGGUGGAGCUUGCGGUUUAAUUGGAUUCAACGCCGGAAAUCUUACCGGGACCGACAGCAACAUGAAGGCCAGGCUGAAGACUUUGCCGGAUUAGCUGAGAGGAGGUGCAUGGCGUAGUCGUGU
rnacentral:rRNA from 1 species